rnacentral:rRNA from 1 species
CCCCAGACACCAUAUGGGCGAAUGAAUUACCCGGCGCGUAUUGCCCUUAGAGUUGAUCCUGGCUCCCGACGAACGUUGGCGGCGUGCCUAAUACAUGCAAGUAGAACGCUGAAGACUUUAGCUUGCUAAAGUUGGAAGAGUUGCGAACGGGUGAGUAACGCGUAGGUAACCUGCCUACUAGCGGGGGAUAACUAUUGGAAACGAUAGCUAAUACCGCAUAACAGCAUUUAACACAUGUUAGAUGCUUGAAAGGAGCAAUUGCUUCACUAGUAGAUGGACCUGCGUUGUAUUAGCUAGUUGGUGAGGUAACGGCUCACCAAGGCGACGAUACAUAGCCGACCUGAGAGGGUGAUCGGCCACACUGGGACUGAGACACGGCCCAGACUCCUACGGGAGGCAGCAGUAGGGAAUCUUCGGCAAUGGGGGCAACCCUGACCGAGCAACGCCGCGUGAGUGAAGAAGGUUUUCGGAUCGUAAAGCUCUGUUGUAAGGGAAGAACGUGUGUGAGAGUGGAAAGUUCACACAGUGACGGUAACUUACCAGAAAGGGACGGCUAACUACGUGCCAGCAGCCGCGGUAAUACGUAGGUCCCGAGCGUUGUCCGGAUUUAUUGGGCGUAAAGCGAGUGCAGGCGGUUUAAUAAGUCUGAAGUUAAAGGCAGUGGCUUAACCAUUGUUCGCUUUGGAAACUGUUAGACUUGAGUGCAGAAGGGGAGAGUGGAAUUCCAUGUGUAGCGGUGAAAUGCGUAGAUAUAUGGAGGAACACCGGUGGCGAAAGCGGCUCUCUGGUCUGUAACUGACGCUGAGGCUCGAAAGCGUGGGGAGCANACAGGAUUAGAUACCCUGGUAGUCCACGCCGUAAACGAUGAGUGCUAGGUGUUAGGCCCUUUCCGGGGCUUAGUGCCGCAGCUAACGCAUUAAGCACUCCGCCUGGGGAGUACGACCGCAAGGUUGAAACUCAAAGGAAUUGACGGGGGCCCGCACAAGCGGUGGAGCAUGUGGUUUAAUUCGAAGCAACGCGAAGAACCUUACCAGGUCUUGACAUCCCGAUGCUAUUCCUAGAGAUAGGAAGUUUCUUCGGAACAUCGGUGACAGGUGGUGCAUGGUUGUCGUCAGCUCGUGUCGUGAGAUGUUGGGUUAAGUCCCGCAACGAGCGCAACCCCUAUUGUUAGUUGCCAUCAUUAAGUUGGGCACUCUAGCGAGACUGCCGGUAAUAAACCGGAGGAAGGUGGGGAUGACGUCAAAUCAUCAUGCCCCUUAUGACCUGGGCUACACACGUGCUACAAUGGUUGGUACAACGAGUCGCGAGUCGGUGACGGCAAGCAAAUCUCUUAAAGCCAAUCUCAGUUCGGAUUGUAGGCUGCAACUCGCCUACAUGAAGUCGGAAUCGCUAGUAAUCGCGGAUCAGCACGCUGCGGUGAAUACGUUCCCGGGCCAAUGUACACACGGCCCGUC